UCCGUGUUGACCACGGCAGUAUCCCAUGAGUCCCCGGCAUAACCCGCUGGCAACAUAGGACGAGGGUUGCGCUCGUUGCCGGACUUAACCGAACAUCUCACGACACGAGCUGACGACAACCAUGCACCACCUGUAUAGAAGUGUCCAAAGAGUCCUGUAUCUCUACAGUGUUCUUCUAUAUGUCAAGCCUUGGUAAGGUUCUUCGCGUUGCAUCGAAUUAAUCCGCAUGCUCCGCCGCUUGUGCGGGCCCCCGUCAAUUCCUUUGAGUUUUAGCCUUGCGGCCGUACUCCCCAGGCGGGGAACUUAAUGCGUUAGCUACGACACAGAAACCGUGGAAUGGUCCCUACAUCUAGUUCCCAACGUUUACGGCAUGGACUAC
rnacentral:misc_RNA from 1 species